rnacentral:rRNA from 1 species
UACGUAGGUGGCAAGCGUUAUCCGGAAUUAUUGGGCGUAAAGCGCGCGUAGGCGGUUUUUUAAGUCUGAUGUGAAAGCCCCCGGCUCAACCGUGGAGGGUCAUUGGAGACUGGAAAACUUGAGUGCUGAAGAGGAAAGUGGAAUUCCAUGUGUAGCGGUGAAAUGCGUAGAGAUAUGGAGGAACACCAGUGGCGAAGGCGGCUUUCUGGUUAGUAACUGACGCUGAUGUGCGAAAGCGUGGGGAGCAAACAGG